GAACAUUCAUUUGCAGAGAACUUUUUAUUUUUCCAUAGAAGUGAAUAGCCAAAUUCUCAUUCUUCACUUUUCUUCUAAAAAACAAACAAACAAAUCUCUUCAUUAUUUCUCAAAUGUUUUUUUUUGAAGGAUAUAGAAGAGACUCUCUUUGCACUGAUCUAUUCUACCUUGAAAAUUGAUCUUGUUAUGCUACUUUUUCUUCUUCUACUACCUUUUAUUUUGAAAAAUUAUUGAAAGAAAAUCUCCCUAUUCUUUAAUAGAAAAAAAAUUAUGGAUCCGUAGCGUAAUGGUAGAGCGUCUGAUAGAUCGGAAGGCUGUUAGUCCAAUUUUUGUUGGGUCCAUAAUCUCGAUCUACAUUCGGUUAUGCUAUCUUUUUAACAGGUAUGUUCAUUUUCAAUAAUACGAAGAUUUAAACUUAAACUCGACACCAAAAUCAUGCAAAACAGAGCAAUUUAACUUGGCUCUGAUGCCAUUGAAAGAAAAAUACGGAGCCAAAUAGUGUACCUUGGUAAAUUUUACAGCGGAUGAAACUGACUUUUCUACCGAAAGAAUCUGUCCAAGUCUUCUUUGAAUCUCUUAGAAGCAGAGCUUGAAUCACAAACUAAAUGCUCUCGUUUUGGUGUUAUCGUUAAUUUCGAUUCUUUAUUUUAUGAACCAAUUUUCUCUGUGUUCUCUGUAUUUUUCUUGUCAGAAGAAAAGGAGGUACGUAUUGCAAAUUUUGGGAUGGGAACAGUUACUUUUUAAUCGUUCUCCCUUUUUCUUUUGAAUUAAUCUCAAUCUGACUAAGAAACAGGUCGGUUUGGUUCAGUUCGGUUCAGUUCGGGUCGGGUCAGAUCGGGUCGGGUCGGUCCACAUGGGUGACCCAUGACCCAUAAUCUAAUAGAAAACAAGUUGUUUUCUUAUUUAUUUGUUGAAAAAUAUUUUCAAGUGUUUGAUUGGUGAAUGAAAAAUAUUUUUCAGAAUAUACAUUUUAAUAUUUAGCGAAAGAGUAGAAAAUACUUUUUAGAUAAUUUUGACCCCGAAAAAUACUUUUUUUAGGGUGUGUUUGGUAUGGAGGAGAAAAAUAUUUUCUUGAAAAAUAAGUUGUUUUUUACUUAUAUUCUUGUGUUCGUUAAACAAGUAGGAAAAUAUUUUCUAAAAGUAUUUGUAUAUAUUUAACAAAAAUGAUAAGAAUGAAUAAGGUAAGAAGGAUGGGGUAAGAAAAAGAUUUUGAAAUUUAUUUUAAUCAAUAAAUUAAAAAAUUAAAUCUUUAUUAUGGAGGGAGAGGGCUGGUUGGGGGGAGGGGGAGGUGCGGCUAGUCUGAGGUGGGGGUCGGGGGGGGAGGGGGAGGGAAGAAAAAAUUAAAACUUUUUUACAAAAUAAAUUUAAAAAAAUUAUUUUUUUCAAGGGUGGGGGCCUGGUAGGGGUAGGGGUAGGGGUGUCGGGUGGGUGGUGGGGUAAGAAAAAAUUUGAUUUUUUUUUAAACAAAUAAAUAAUUUUUCUGGAGGGGGAUGGGGUUAGGGGAUGAGGUAAUAAAAAAAGUUGAAAUAAUUUUUUUGGAUGGGGUGGUAAGGGAUUGAUGGUCGGAGCAGGGGUGAGUGAUUUUGAGAGUUGUGUGAACAUUUCAAUUUGAGGGUGAGCUUGAAAGAGAGUCUUGAAAAUAUUUUUUCUACUUUUUGAAUGAAAAUCAUUUUCCUUAAAUUGAGGAAAAUAAGUUGACCCCCUAUCCGACUCACACUUAUUCCAUCUUUUUUCCCUUAGCAGAAUCCACAUAACUCUCAUAUAUACACCUCCAUUUUUCAAUUUAGAAAAACACACAUAUAGAAAAGGGAGGAGGAAGAUCACUAGAAUACAAUAGACACACACCUCACAAUACACCACUCCUCCGUCGUCACUGCCAUACAUACACACAAAAUGCUCAUACCUUAAUAAAACACACACACAGACGCCUCUCCUACACUUUCAUAUGCACACGACAUCAUCAAAAAACAUAUACCUCAUCAUCAAACGCACACACACAGAACUGCUAAACUCACAAACACAGAGAAAUUAGAGAGAGAGAUCGAUGGAGAAAAGAGAAAAUAGAGGACAAGCAGAAAACAUAUAUAUAGAGAGAGAAAUCACGUGGGGAGGGAGUUAUGAUUUUCUGGCUAAAUUUCACCAAAAAUGUAUCUCCACCGACAAAACAAUCCCACUGGCGAAGCAAUCCCACUAGGAAACACCAGAACCACCUUCAUCACCCACCCAAAAUUCAUAAAGCAGUGACCAAUAUCAGCGCAGAAGUCCAUGAGAUGCUCGAAAUUUCACCGGAGAUGUGCCAAAAAUGAUCAAAAUAUCCUAAACAUCGGGAAAACAAUGAGUUUAUCUUUGGGAUUUUGGGAAUUGAGUUCGAGGUCUGUUCGUGGUUCAUGGGUUCACGAGGCUCCCGUCGCUAUUAGAAUUGGUUCAAGUUGAUUGAAUAAAAGUAACAUUGAGGUUCAAUUCUAUCUUCUCUCCUCUUAUUUUUUAUAAGAUUGUGAAUGAUUUGUGUAUUUGGCAUGUUUAAAUCUUUGUUGUGUGUUGGUUGAUGUUGGAUUUGGAUAUGAAAACUUGGAUUGGUAGUCGAAAAAUUGGUUAAUUAUUUUGAGAAUGAAUUCAGGGAGAGGUUGAAAAUUGAUAAAAGUGAAUAUUGAUCUAUUUUGAUUCAUUGAUGGUUGUCUAAUUUGAAAUGGAUUUUAAUUUUUAUCGAACAUGAUAGUUUCAUAUUUUAGGUCGAGGAUCGACAAGAAAAUCUUAGGUCUUGGGUAGGCAACUCGUAGGAUUCUAUAUCAUCGAAUGCGUAUGUGUCUAUGUUGAGUGAUUUCUCUACUUUUACCGCAUUUCAUAAAAAAUGUAUUCAUUAGUCGGGGAAUGCCCCGAGGCCACAUUGCACUUAUUUACCGGAGAAUGCUCCGAAGUAUUAUGUACGUAAAGGAGGUUUGUGAUCAAGGCCCGAGGAGUCGGGUGGAGCUUAGUAUAGGAUCAGUUUAGAAUAGGAUUUACAUUUCUGUAUUUAUCUAUUUUUGGGACUGUAUAAUUCAGACUGGACAUUAUUUUGAUUUUGAACUUUGUUUGAUUUGUUUGUUUUCUUGUUUUAUGUGUUUUUUGGUUUUAUAUAUUUCAUAGUGUCAUAUUAGUCGAUAUACUCCACGAAGCGAUCAUGGUCGAACUAUGGGAUCGAGGGGUGCCUAAUACCUUUCCUUCGAUCAACGAAAUUUCUUAACUGAAAUCUCUAUUCGUGGAUCAAUUUUGAAAGAUUCAAAAAUUAUUUUUAAAAAGGAUUUUCAAAGUGACUUGGCAUACCAGAUUAUGCCAAGUGGCGACUCUAAAUUUUAUUUGUUAAAUAUCUUUUUCGUAAUAAAUUAUUUUCUUUUGUCACUUAAUAAUAAAACCCUUUCAAAUCUAAAAUUAUAUUCUUUUUGGUAUAAGAGGGGUGUGACAAUACGGACAAGUUUUUGUGAUUUACAAGUAAAGACUAAUUGCAUAUGAAUAAGUAGGUUUCUCUUUGAACUUUUCGUAGUGAACUUAUAUUGGAUGCACUUGGUCAAUCAGUAGAUGCGAUAUCUUUAAACCGUCGAACUUUGGUGUACACCUAGACAAUAUAAGUCACACAACCAACCAUUUAACAUUUAUGAUCCUCACAAUUUUAUUCGUUUCUAUCAUGAACACUAUCUAAUUUCUUGAGAGCUUAGAUAAUAGACCUUUACUAUCACUCCUUAAAUUAGUUUCCACUUCACCCUCUCAUAAUGAUUCCUAAGCAUUUAAUCCUAUAGAUUAAACUAUUUGAUCAACUUGUUAAACUUAUAAGCUAUAAAAAAGCUUUAAUCUAUAAGCCUUAUCCUUAUUUUUUGAAUAUUAUUUUCAUCAUGAGAUAGACAAUGUUGAACAGUCAGUCAUCACUUUAUUUAAUCUCCUUUAACUUAGCUUUAGGAAUCUCUAGUCUUCUAGAUAGAGUUACUGCCGCGAUGACUUGUCUUAGGCCAUAAACCCAUUUUUCUUGAUGAUCUCUCAACUCCCUCUCUAGUUAGGCCUUUUGUAAAUGGAUUUGACACAUUACCCUUUGGCUUUAUAUAGUCAGUUGUGAUAAUUCUACUAGAGAGUAGUUCUUUAACGAUGUUAUGUUUUUAUCUUAUAUGACGAGAUUUACCAUUAUACAUCAUAUUCUCUAUCCUACCUAUUAUAGCUUGACAAUCACAAUAUAUGCAUAUUGGUACCAAAGGUUUGGUCCAAUAAGGAAUAUCUUUUAAGAAAUUCCAAAGCCAUUCAGCUUCUUUACCAACCAUAUCUAAAGAGAUAAAUUUUGAUUCCGUUGUAGUAAAAGCAAUACAUUUCUAUUUGGAUGAUUUUCGAGAGACUUCUCCUCCACCAAGAGUAAAUACAUAUCCAUUGGAUUUUACUUUAUUUGGCCCGGUAAUUCAAUUUGCACCAUUAUAUCCUUUAAUUACUGUUGGAUAUUUGUUAUAAUGUAAAUCAUAGUUUUGAGUAUGUUUUAGAUACUCCUAAACUCUUUUCAUUUCCAUCUAAUGAGUUUGAUUGAAAUUGCUUGUGUACCGACUCAAUUUACUAACAGCACAUGCUAUACCUGAUUGCAUAUGAUUCAUGAUGUACAUCAAAGUUUUCAACACUUGCAUAGUCCAAUUGUAAGUCACUUUCACCUUCAUUCCUUUGAAGUGCGAAGUUUACAUCUUUUGGCAUCUUGGCAAUAUUAAAAUUCAAAUACUUAAAUUUGUCAAGUACAUUUUCAAUGUAAUGAGACUAUGACAAUGCUAAAUCUUGUGGAGUUCUAUAAAUUCUUAUCUAUGCUAAAUGGUCAAGACAAUAAACCACUGAUAGUGCAACCAACAUUCAAAGGGUCAUUAUCUUUAUUACUGAUGAGUAUAUAUCAAAAUAGACAAGAUCAUCUUUUUUUCUAAAGCUUUUAACAAAAAGUCUUGCCUUGUACUGUUAAUAGUAACGAGUAUGUGUCAAAAUAGACAAGACCUUCAUUUUUUCUAAAGCCUUUAACGAAAAGUUUUGCCUUGUGUUGUUAAUAGUUCCAUCAAAUUUUAUUUUCAUUUUAAAUAAUUAUUUUGAACCUAAAGGUUUAUUUCCUAGAGGAAGAUCUUCUAACUCCCACAUAUGGUUGUUCAAGAUUGAAUUAAUCUCACUGUUGAUAGUCUUUUCCAAAAGGAUGAGUUCAUAGAAUUUGAAUGUUUAACGCUCAUUUUUAAGAAGAAAUAUAACAAAAUCUGAUCCGAAGGAAGUAGAUGUCCUUUGACGUUUACUACACCUUGAAUUCUCUUCAUUAAGUUCAUUAUCCUUUGGUUCUUUUUGAGGUCUUUUAGACUCCUCACUAGAUAGCUCAUGUCUAGUCUUAUACAGAUUAAUGUGUUUAAAGAACUGAACAUUAUUUGAUGCAAUUACCGUAUUGUCAUGAAUAUCUAUAUGUUCAGAUUUAUGAAUCAAAAAUCAACAUAUUUUACUAUUUGUAGCAUAUCCAAUAAAAACACAGUCCACAGUCUUUUGUUCCAUUUUUGUCCUUUUGGGUACAUAAACUUAGACUUUGGCUAGACACCCUAUACUUUAAGAUAUUUCAAGUUGGGUUUCCUUUCUUUUUAUUUCUCGUAUGAAAAUGUUUGUGUGUUUCUAUGGGACACUCUAUUGAGUAUUUGAUUUGCUAUAACGAUAUCUUCUCACCAUAAGUUUGUGGUAAACCUAAACUUAUAAGUAAGACUUCAUUAUUUUCUUUAAUGUUUGGUUUUUUCUUUUCGCAAUUUCAUUUGAUUGAGGUGAGUAAGUGAUAAUAGUUUGAUGGACAAUUUCAUUUUCUAAACAUAUCUCUGUAAAAAGGAGAUUCAUACUCUCCACCUCUAUCACUUCUUAUCAUUUUAAUUUUUUUUUAUCCAACUAAUUAUUAACUUCAAUUUUAUAUUAUCUAAAUGUUUCUAUUACUUCUAUCUUACUCUUCAGCAAAUAAACAUAACAAUAUCUAGUGCAACCAUCAAUAAAAGUUAUGAAAUACUUUUUCCCACCACAAGAUAGUGUUAACUUCAUAUCACAAAUGUCUAUAUGAAUCAAGUCUAAGGGAUUGAAAUUCUUUUCAACAGACUUAUAAGGAUGCUUAGCAUACUUAGAUUAAUCACAUGUUUGAUACUUUGAUUUAUUGCACUUAAAAUUAGGUAAAACUUCAAACUUAUCAGUUUUUACAAGAUUUUAUAAUUGACAUGUCCUAAACGUUCAUGACAUAAUCCAUUUGAAUCAAGUAAGAAGAAUCAAAACUUUUAUUCAUAUCAAUAGUCAUUACAUUGAUCUUAAAAAGUCCCUCGAUUAGGUAACAUUUACCUAUAUACAUUUCAUCCAUGCAAAUAAUUCUUUAUUGGCACAAAUGUGGUGGAUUACAUCCGCCCUUUUCUUGAAUUACCAAUUUGAUUGCAUUUUGAAAGUAUGGUACAAAGAUUGUCUAUUUUUUCUUUGAAUUCAAUCAUGUUUUCUUGAUUCUCUUUCUUGCCCUUCUUCGGAGCCUGACAAUCAGUAGUUUUAUGGCCAACAUUACCAUAAUUGAUGCAAUUUUCUUUAAAUAUCUUCGUAGGAGGACUGUCUUGUUGUCCAGAUGCUUUCUUUUUCUUUUUUGACUUUGUGGGAUCAUCUUCAAUAAAUUUUGCUCCAGUUAUUAUUGAAUUCCUACAUGACCUCUUUUUUGCAGCCUUGUUAUCUUCUUUGAUUCCUUACAAUGUGAUAAUCGACAUACAUCUCUCUUGCAUUUUAUUUCAAGUAGUUUUUGAAGUCCUUCCACCAAGGUGGUAACUUUUCAAUUAUUUCAGCCACUUAAAAUGAAUCAUUCACAAUCAAACUUUUGCAAGGAGGUCAUGUAUUAUGACUUACAACUCUUGAACUUGGGUAAUAGCAACUUUACUAUCUACUAUUUUAAAGUUUGAAAACUUUACAAUAAUAAAUUUCUUCAUUCCGACAUCUUCUAUUUUGUACUUCUUUUUCAAAAUAUCCUAGAGUUUAUUUGAGGUUUUCAUGUUACUGUACACAUUGUACAAACCAGCUUGUAGGCCACACAGAAUGUAAUUCUUAUAUUAAAAAUCUGAAUGCUUUGAAGUUUUGGUCACUAAGAAACAUUCAUUAUCUGAAGUUGAUUCAGAUAAUUUAGAAACGCUUUCCAUCAUGAACUUUUACAGACUUAAAGUAGUCAAGAAAAAUAGUAUUUUUUAUUGUCAUCUUUUAAAGGCCACACUAGAAAACAAUUUUGAUUUCUCUGCCAGUGCCAUGGUAGGAGCGACAUUUAAACAACUCAAAGUAGCAAUGUUAGUUAUUGAAACAUUGAUCGUUCCAUCAUUGAAUUUAUUUUCAUUAAUUAUUUUUUGUCACAAUUAAAAAAUCAAUUUAGAAUUACAAUACUAAAAAUAAAGUCUAAAACUUUAAACAACUUAUUUCUAGUCAACACUGAAGUUUUUAUAUUCAUCAAAUCGCCAACCAAAUGAACUUUGACUCCUGAUGAAAUUUUUAUAUCUUUGAAUCAAUAUCAAGUUCAAAUAGAGUAGAUUUUGGUCUCCAGAAAUUAAAAUAUAGAUAUAAAAUAAUUUCCUUAAAAUUAUUAUUUUUUGAGUUAUAAAAUCUAUAUUUUUAGCAAGAACUUUAGAAACAAGUUCAAACAAUUUAUAAACAAUCAAAAAAAUUCAAAUGUCUUAAAAUAGUAUAAGAAAGAGAUGAAGAAAGAAAGAAUCAUGUCUACUGUAACACCCCACACUUUUUCUAACUUAAAACCGUCCCUAGAAUGUCAAAGAUUUGCUUCAAAGAUGAAUACCUUUUAUUUCAUGAGAUAUUUUCCAGAUUUAGAUUUUCUAUUGUGUGGGAAAUUUAAUGAAUUUUCCAUCGAUACCAAAUUCACCCAAAUUUGACACUCGAUUGAGGAUUUAGAGAAUUUUUAAGUUGACAGUAUCCCACCUGAGCAACCACCGCAUCGCGGUGAAGGACAAUUUCAUAAUUAUUAAUUUCAGUGGACCUUCGCGAUAUUGGCACAUCGAGGAUAGGUCAAAAUUCCCAAUUAUCAAUUUCCAGUAGCCUAACGCAAUAUUGGCACAUCGCGCCAGUGUCCAAAAUGACAUUUCAAAGGGGCACCGCGAUGGUGGCACGUCGCGGAGAAUGUCCAGCUCUCACUCGUCCUUUUCCAGUGAGCCACCGCAAUAGUGGUGCAUCUCAGUGGCCUAUUAAAUUAGAAAAAUAUUACAUUUUCAGUUCCAUCCAGAAGUUUAAAUAGGGCAUUUUGGUCAAUUCCCAAGCCCCCAAUCCGUCCAAAAAUAAGACUUAAGCCUAGUCUAAGCACUUUAUGCCCAAUUUCAUCCAUUCUCUCUCAAAAUAAAAUCCUAAAGCUCCAAAGCUUCUUCUCCAAGAAAUUAAAAAUCCUCCAUAGAUUCUCCAAGAAAGCUUCAAAUUGAGGAUUUUCAAGGCAAGAAAAUCAAGAAAUCAUCUCCAAGAACUCAAAUAGGAAUCAAUAGAUCACAUUUCUUCAUCUAAUCUUCAAUCAAGGUAUGUGGGGUUUAUGAACAAGGAUCUCCUUUUAUCCUUGUGCCCAAAACUAGCUUUUAACUAUAAAUUUAUAUUAUUUUGAAUGUUUAUACAUGAACUUUAAAUUAGGGUUCAUACCCAUUAUUGCAAAUUGCAAGAUUAUGAGAUUUCCAAUGUUUUAGAAGUUGAAUUGGAUGUCUAUUUUCAUACUUUUAUACCAUUGCAGAAAUUUACAGAUUUUGGGAGGAAUUAUCAUUGUUUUCAUGAUUAAGCAUGAAUAUUACGAUUUUUUGACAUGAGUUUGAUGUAUGAGUUACUAAGACCAAGUUUAUAUGUUGAUGUUUCAAGAAAGGUGAUGCUUUAAGCAUCCUAUGAUCAGUUUAUUCACAGAUUUUCAGUAAAGCUUUGAUCUUUUGAUCCUAAGCUAAGAUAAGGAAUCCACAUUGUUCAUAUAGUUUGAAAUUUAAAGAAAGAGAAGCAUAAUUGAUUUUUAUUAUAAACCCUUGUGCUAUUUUAAGGUGGAUAUUUCAUUAUAAACUUAGAUUUGAGGUCCUUAAACACUCCCAACACCUCCGAAAACGUCAUUACAUGAACUACCAUCACUACGGUGGUCCUAAAGAUCAUUUUAGAUUUAUCAAAAGAGCAUUACGACUACGGAGGGUCACAAUCGUACAACCUGGACGGUGCCUCAUUUAAAUUCUCAUAACUUCUUACUCCGAACUCGAAUUGAUGAAUGGUCGGUGGCGUUGGAAAGAAAACUCAAAGGGAUUUAACUUGAUAUAUAGUUGGCCACACUAAUCUUUAUAUACUAGGAUAAACAGUUGCUGGAAUUUGACCCAUGCAAAAUUGUUAACUAAUAAUUGAUCGAUAGGAAAGUGCUCAAUUUAACUUUUGAGCUAGGAGAUUCUUACAGUAUAUAUUCAUCUCCAAGAAUGUUCCCACACUAAGUAAAGGUCGUUCAAACUUAUAUAUAUGUAGAAAUAUAGGGUUCAGGUUUAUAAACGUAGAAAAAAAUACGGUUCAACUUUGGCCCAAAAAAAUGGGGUGUUACAUUUUAGUUGGUGUUCUUUGAAUUGUGAUACUGUAAAUUACCUUUUUAGCUUCAUUCGCUCCUUAAUUAUUUUCUAUGAUCUAGCUAUCAAAUUUUUGUAACAAUCUCAUCCAUUUAUGCUUCUCCAGUAAGAGACUAAGGAUUAGUUAUUGUAAGAAGAGAAAGAAUGAGAAUGAUUCAGUUUAGGGUCCUUUCUCUUUAAGUUUCUGCAAAAUUUAAAUAUAUUAUUUUUAUAUCUUGGCAUCCAUUGAAUGAUGUGGAAAUUCUAAUUCAAGUUAUAUAUGGCUAAGCAUAGUUAGAACAUCUACAUUGAUUUUACUUAGCUAAGAUGCAGAUUCUUUUAUUUAUUCUCAAGUCAUCACCAACUGAUUUGUCAACGUAUUUUUUACUUAUUCUCUCUCUCAUGUGUUAGGGAAUGUGAGGUUUUGAUGAUGGACAUAUAAAUGAAACAUUUUGUACAAGCUAUUCCACACAAGUGAAUAAAGAGAAGCUACUGGUGCUCACAUGAACUGCAUGUUGAAGUUGAUGCAAGGGCUGAUAAUGCAUUAAGACAAAAGUGGAUAAGCAAGGAAACUCAAAAUUGUUUCAAAUGCUAUGAUUAAGGAGAAUAUAAAUGAAGCAUCUAGAAGUUGAGUUGAUCAAGGAG
rnacentral:lncRNA from 1 species